rnacentral:rRNA from 1 species
UACGUAGGGGGCAAGCGUUGUCCGGAAUUAUUGGGCGUAAAGGGCGCGUAGGCGGCCUCUUCAAGUCGACUGUGAAAUCUCCGGGCUUAACCCGGAACGGUCAGCCGAUACUGCAGGGCUAGAGUGCAGAAGGGGCAACUGGAAUUCUCGGUGUAGCGGUGAAAUGCGUAGAUAUCAAGAGGAACACCAACGGCGAAGGCAGCUAGCUGGACGAGAUCCGACGCUCAGGCUCGAAAGUAUGGGGAGCAAAAAGG